rnacentral:misc_RNA from 1 species
GAUGAAGAACGUAGCGAAAUGCGAUAAGUAAUGUGAAUUGCAGAAUUCAGUGAAUCAUCGAAUCUUUGAACGCACAUUGCGCCCGCCUGUAUUCUGGCGGGCAUGCCUGUUCGAGCGUCAUUUCAACCAUCAAGCCCCCGGCUUGUGUUGGGGACCCUGCGGCUGCCCGCAGGCCCUGAAAACCAGUGGCGGGCUCGCUGUCACUCCGAGCGUAGUAGCAUAUAUCUCGCUCAGGGCGUGCUGCGGGUUCCGGCCGUUAAAAGCCUUUUUUUUACCCAAGGUUGACCUCGGAUCAGGUAGGAAGACCCGCUGAACUUAAGCAUAUCAAUAAGCGGAGGA